rnacentral:rRNA from 1 species
CCUUGAAAUACCACCCUUUAAUGUUUGAUGUUCUAACGUAGGCCCCUUAUCGGGGUUGCGGACAGUGUCUGGUGGGUAGUUUGACUGGGGCGGUCUCCUCCUAAAGAGUAACGGAGGAGCACGAAGGUUGGCUAAUCCUGGUCGGACAUCAGGAGGUUAGUGCAAUGGCAUAAGCCAGCUUGACUGCGAGCGUGACGGCGCGAGCAGGUGCGAAAGCAGGUCAUAGUGAUCCGGUGGUUCUGAAUGGAAGGGCCAUCGCUCAACGGAUAAAAGGUACUCCGGGGAUAACAGGCUGAUACCGCCCAAGAGUUCAUAUCGACGGCGGUGUUUGGCACCUCGAUGUCGGCUCAUCACAUCCUGGGGCUGAAGUAGGUCCCAAGGGUAUGGCUGUUCGCCAUUUAAAGUGGUACGCGAGCUGGGUUUAGAACGUCGUGAGACAGUUCGGUCCCUAUCUGCCGUGGGCGCUGGAGAACUGAGGGGGGCUGCUCCUAGUACGAGAGGACCGGAGUGGACGCAUCACUGGUGUUCGGGUUGUCAUGCCAAUGGCACUGCCCGGUAGCUAAAUGCGGAAGAGAUAAGUGCUGAAAGCAUCUAAGCACGAAACUUGCCCCGAGAUGAGUUCUCCCUGACCCUUUAAGGGUCCUGAAGGAACGUUGAAGACGACGACGUUGAUAGGCCGGGUGUGUAAGCGCAGCGAUGCGUUGAGCUAACCGGUACUAAUGAACCGUGAGG